UUUAAGGGUAGGCGUAGGCGGCCUGUUAAGUCAGGGGUGAAAGACGGUAGCUCAACUAUCGCAGUGCCCUUGAUACUGAUGGGCUUGAAUUGACUAGAGGUAGGCGGAAUGUGACAAGUAGCGGUGAAAUGCAUAGAUAUGUCACAGAACACCGAUUGCGAAGGCAGCUUACUAUGGUCUUAUUGACGCUGAGGCACGAAAGCGUGGGGAUCAAACAGGAUUAGAUACGU
rnacentral:rRNA from 1 species